GAAUAAUGUUUUAAGGAAGCCACUGAGUAGGCUGACAUGUGGCAUGCUCUUAUCUGUUCAAUGCUUGUUGCCAUGGCAUUUUCCUGUGUCUUGAUUUAAAAAUAAAAUAAGAUUUUGGACUUGAUUGUAAAAAGGACCAUGUUUUAGUACUGCAAAUGUAAUUAUUUCAUACUUUGUUAGAAGCAUCUAAAUAUCAAAGACCAACUGCAAAUUAAUUAUGAAAUGCUGAAAGUUGAAUUAGAUUUGGUUGGGAUAUUCUUGGAAGUGGUAAAUAAGUUGCAGCUCAAUCGCUAGAUGCAC
rnacentral:misc_RNA from 1 species